rnacentral:rRNA from 1 species
GCUAACUACGUGCCAGCAGCCGCGGUAAUACGUAGGUGGCAAGCGUUAUCCGGAAUUAUUGGGCGUAAAGCGCGCGUAGGCGGUUUUUUAAGUCUGAUGUGAAAGCCCACGGCUCAACCGUGGAGGGUCAUUGGAAACUGGAAAACUUGAGUGCAGAAGAGGAAAGUGGAAUUCCAUGUGUAGCGGUGAAAUGCGCAGAGAUAUGGAGGAACACCAGUGGCGAAGGCGACUUUCUGGUCUGUAACUGACGCUGAUGUGCGAAAGCGUGGGGAUCAAAC